rnacentral:rRNA from 1 species
UACGGUAGGGUGCAAGCGUUGUCCGGAAUUAUUGGGCGUAAAGGGCGCGUAGGCGGUCUUGUAAGUCUUGUGUGAAAUCCCUCGGCUUAACUGAGGAACUGCACGGGAUACUGCAUGACUUGAGAUCGGGAGAGGGAAGCGGAAUUCCGGGUGUAGCGGUGAAAUGCGUAGAUAUCCGGAGGAACACCGGUGGCGAAGGCGGCUUCCUGGACCGACACUGACGCUGAGGCGCGAAAGCUAGGGGAGCAAACGGG